UAGACUAUUCUUUCAGGGAUCAUUUCUAUAGUUUGUUACUAGAGAAGUUUCUCUGACUGUGUGGAGCACUGGAAACCAAGAGGACGAGACAUAGCAUCCCCCCCUGAGCGUGAAGCUGGCUCUAGGUGUUGCUUCAGUACAGCAGCCUCUGGCCAUUGAUGAUCAUUUUCUCCUUUGGUAGGGUGAGAGGAAGGGAACGAAGUCUGAGUGGG